UACGGAAGGCAGCAGGGGGGAAUAUUGCACAAUGGGCGCAAGCCUGAUGCAGCCAUGCCGCGUGUAUGAAGAAGGCCUUCGGGUUGUAAAGUACUUUCAGUCGUGAGGAAGGUGUUAAGGUUAAUAACCUUAGCAAUUGACGUUAGCGACAGAAGAAGCACCGGCUAACUCCGUGCCAGCAGCCGCGGUAAUACGGAGGGUGCGAGCGUUAAUCGGAAUUACUGGGCGUAAAGGGCACGCAGGCGGUUAAUUAAGUUGGAUGUGAAAUCCCCGGGCUUAACCUGGGAAUGGCAUUCAAGACUGGUUAGCUAGAGUCUUGUAGAGGGGGUAGAAUUCCAUGUGUAGCGGUGAAAUGCGUAGAGAUGUGGAGGAAUACCGGUGGCGAAGGCGGCCCCUGGACAAAGACUGACGCUCAUGUGCGAAAGCGUGGGGAGCAAAACAGGGAUUAGAUACC
rnacentral:rRNA from 1 species